rnacentral:other from 19 species
UUUACCCUGCUUUGUGCGUGGGUUAUCUGGGGUUUUGAGCCAACAUUUUGCAAAACGGGAGUCCGGUUUCACGCAAGGAAAUGUAGACCUUACAUUGUAUAAGGAAACAGGAAACUGCGGAAGGGCACCCACCUGUUGGAGAACAGGUUCAAAAAACCUUAGGUAACAAACACGGCAUGGUGGGGUUUCC